rnacentral:lncRNA from 1 species
CCCACGCAGCCUCGGUUACCCUCUCCGCCACCCGCUGGACCUCGGCUUCCAGGGCCCUGCCUCGGUUCGCCCGCCCUCAACCCCGCACUUGCUCUCGGCUUCCGCUCUUUCUGCCCAGCUCGACUCUCCCGCCCGCCCUCACCCCAGGUGCUACCCUCCCUUCGCCCUCUCUGCCCCGCGACCUCCCGCGCUUGGCGCCAGUGCCACCGCUUUUCGGUCCAGCUCGGAUCCUCCCGCCCGGCCUCGGCUCUUCCGCCGAGCCUCGGCUUCCCCCGCCCAGCUUCGGCUUCCUUCGCGCCUGGCUUCGGCUCUUUCCGCCCAGCUUCGGCUUCCCCAUCCGUCCUCGCCUGGCGUCCUACCAUGGCGCUGCCUGUCCCUCUCUGUCUCCGACCUGAAACUUCCCCUCCCUCCGUCCUGGCCAUGGCUCGGCUUCUCCGCCGCCCUUCCCGCUGCUUUUCGGCCCUGCUCGGCUCCUCCCGCCUGGCCUCGGCUCCUCCCAUUGGCCUUGGCUUUUCCGGUUCCUCUCGGCCGACCUCGGCUCCCACCACCCGUCUUUGGCUCCCCUCGCCCAGCCUUGGCUUCUCCGCCGCUCCUCGGCUCAGUUCGUUCAGUUCGGCUUUCUCCGCCCGGCUUCAGUUUUCUCCGAUUUCGCCGCUUCAGUUCGGCUCUUUCCGCGUCUCCCCAUGGCACCCUGGGCUCGGCGUGGCUCUGGGUCUGGUUGGGUCCUUGUCUUAGUCCGGGGGAGUUGCACUAAUUGAGUUCCCGUCAUUAUGAUAUGGAGGUGCCAGUGUCUCCACAUCCUGGUCAAUCUGUUAUCUUUUUAAAAGAAAAAAAUUCCUGAUCAAUGAAAAAGGGAAUCUCAAUGUAUUACUUCCCAUUUUUCUUAGGAGAGCCACUUGUAUUUCUGUGAACUGUUGUUAGCAUUUGCUCCUUUCUCUAAUUAACUCUUGGUCUUUCUCUUACUGCUUCGUAGGAGUUCUUGAAUACUAACAAAUUAUUAUGAGCAAUGUUCAAGCAUGGAAAUAAUUUUUGAAAAAAUGUACAGGAACAUUCAUCAGUAACAUUUUACUAUACUUUGUCAUAUACAUCUCUGUAUCAUCCAUCAAUUCAUCUUUUUAAAUGCAUUUUGAAGUAGGUUGCAGAUAGCUUACAUAUCAUUAAUUAGAGUUCAAAAUUUGGGGCUGGAAGAUCUAAGGUGGCUCAUCCCCUGGCUAGCAAUGUGGUGCUGGUGAGUUGGUUACUGGUUACGGGGCUGCUUGAGUCUCCUCAUGGCAUGGCGGAUGGCUUCUCCUAGAGAAAGAGCAAUAGAAGAGACCAAGGAGGAAGCUUCAGUGUGUCUUAUGACCUAGCCUCAGAUGUCACAUGCAACAGUGCUGUAUUGAUCAUAUGGGUCGUGUAUGAUUCAAUAUUGGAGGUGGGGUACACAGGACAGGAAUAUCAGGUGGCAAGGGUCUUUGGUGAGCAUUCUGAAGGCUAGUCAACACACCCACCUUUCCUUCAGACCACCUCUUUUCAUCAGCCCGGAAUCUCUUUUUUUGUGCUGGAGUGCCUGAUCUGAUUGUAGCUGUUUGAGGCAUCUGGAAUUCAUGGCCGGGUUUAGAACAACUUGGAAGGUCUCCUUUCCCCCUCUUCUCUUUCUUUUACCCUUCUCCCCUCUCUCUUCCUCUCAGCCUUACCCCCAACUCUAGUCUUUCUUUGCUUCUAGUGAGCGAGCAGGAGAUGCUCUGAGAGUCAACUGGGAAUGCAGCUGAUAAGGGUCUGCUGGGUGCAGGAAAUGUUGGAAGGUUUGCUUGCUGGGCUGUAUCACCUCCUGUAUUAUGGGAGCUUAGAGUAUUUGCCAGCUUGUCAGGACUACCAUCGUCUUCCAUGUUCUGAGACUGGAGUACCCAACAUUCCCCUAGCAGGGGACACUUGGCUUGAUAGGGCUCUAUCAAUCUAUAUUGUGAGGGUAGAGAUACUCAUAUUGCAAGGGGAGGCUGCAGGAGUUGCCUGCUGGGGCUAAGAUUAUUCCUUGUGUUUGGGAUAAAGGAGGGGUCACCGCAGGGGCAGUCAACUCAUGUUGGGGGAGACGGGAUUUGCAUUCUGGGCUCCCCUCCUCGUUUAUGUUAAGGGUGUUGCUUGCUGAUGCUUCUAUUAACUCUUACUUUGGGAUAAUGGGAAGAGAGAUAGUUUUCUGGGGUAUGAGUUUGUCACUUAUGUUGUAGAAUCUGGGGGGCUGCCUGUUGAGAUUCUGACCAUUGCUUGUUUUGGGUGUCAUUGCUGGGGAUACUUAUUUAUAGUCUUGGGAAGACAAGGGAUGCAUGUUGCAGCGGUAGUGGGUAAGAAUGGUGGCAUUUGCUGGAGUUCUUUUUUUUUUUUUUUUUUUUUUUGAGACAGAAUCUUGCUCUGUCUCCCAGGCUUGAGCGCAGUGGUGUGAUCUUGGCUCACUGCAAACUCUGCCUCCCGGGUUCAAGAGAUUCUCCUGCCUCAGUCUCCUGAGUAGCUAGGACUACAGGCACGUGUCACCACGCCCGGCUAAUUUUUGUAUUUUUAGUAGAGACGGUUUCACCAUAUUGGUCAGGCUGGUCUCGAACUCCUGAUCUCGUGAUCCACCCGCCUUGGCCUCCCAAAGUGCUGGGAUUACAGGCGUGAGCCACCAUACCCAGCCUGGAGUUCCUUUCUUGAGUGUGUAGAGGAUUGAGGGUUGAUUGGUUUUUGGAGUUUCCAUCAUUAAUGUAGGAGCGAUACGGGGAAUCACUUGGCGAAGCUUUCAUUGUCUCUGAUGUUGGAGGUAACUGGAGGGCCAGUGCCUGGGGCUUCCAUUUUUUUCUAGUGUUGAAGGGUCAAGAGCAUUUAUCAGAUAGAGGCCUUACUGUGUAUUGUUUGGGGAGAGGAUGGAGGGAUUAUUGGAUGGGGUUCCACUUAUCUCUAGUUGGGGAGGGUCAUAUUCUGGGUCUCCGCUUGCCUGUACUGUUGGUAUAGACUGGGUAGGCCAUUGGGCUUGGAGUCCCCAUUCUUUAGUGUUGAGGGGCAUCUGAAGGGGUCAUUUCAGGGACUUCUGUUAUAGUUUUGGACGUGACUGAGGGGUGCUUGCUGGAGUAGUUUCGCGAUGACGGAGGUCUUCAUGUUUGGACUCCAUCUUUUGUGUUUGUAAGUGAUUGAGGGGUGGAGAUCUGGCAUCCUGUUGCCUCUUGUUUUGAGGGUGACUGGUGGUUACCUGCUAGGGCUUCUGUCAGCUCUACUGCUGUAUGCAGAUUGUGAGAAUCACUUGCUGGGGCUUCCAUAAUCUCUAGUCUUAGGGGGACUGGGAAAUGGCUUGCCAUGCUUUCUAUUAUCUCUAGUUUUAAGGGACCAGUUCAAUGUGAUUUAAAACUCUUUUUAUUUGAAAAAAAAAAAAAAUUAGGGCUGGGCACGUUGGCUCACGCCUAUAAUCCUAACACUUUUGGGAGGCCAAGGCAGAUGGAUCACUUGAGGUCAGGAGUUUGAGACCAGCCUGGUCACCAUGGCGAAACCCCAUCUCUACUAAAAAUACAAAAAUUAGCUGGGCGUGGUGGUGCACACCUGUAGUUGCAGCUACUUGGAGGCUGAGGCAAGAGAAUUGCUUGAACCCAGGAGGCGGAAGUUGCAGUGAGGUGAGUGUGGGCAACAGAGUGAGACUCCGUCUGAAAAAAAAAAAAAGAUUUAGACGUAUAAAAGUGUUAAAACUAUACAGGCUUGAUUUAUACAGUCAAUAUUUAUUUGUAUUUGCUCACAUUUUAUCUUUCCUGAUUAUCCUUAUAUAUUUCUGGAAUUGCUUCCACAUGGAAUAAUUUUCCUCCAGCCCCAAAACUUUCCUUCUUUCUUUCCUUCUCCUUCCUUCCUUCCUUCCUUCCCUCCCUCCCUCCUUCCUUCUUUUUUUUUUUUGAGACAGAGUCUCGCUCCAUCGCCCAGGCUGGAAAGCAACGGUGCGAUCUCAGCUCACUGCAACCUCCACCUCCUGGGUUCAAGCAAUUCUCCUGCCUCAGCCUCCCAAGUAGCUGGGAUUAUAGGCGACCGCCACUACGCCCAGCUAAUUUUUUUUUUUUUUUGUAGUUUUAGCAGAGAUGGGGUUUUGCCAUGUUGGCCAGCCUUGUCUCGAACUCCUGACCUCAGGUGAUCCACCUGCCUCAGCCUCCCAAAAUGCUGGGAUUACAGGUGUGAGCCACCGUGUCUGGCCCAAAACUUUCUUUAGUGUUUCUUGAAGUGCAGUUCUGCUGGUGAUGAACUAUGUUGUUGCUGAAACACCAGGGGUUCAAUCUAGGUCCUGCUGCUCACCACUGCACAGAAAGCCUAUCGCUGAGACAAUGAGUAUUGCCAAGGAAGAAGGCUUUAAUCAGCUGCUGCAGCUGAGGAGCUACAGAGCGCUCACUGGUGCGGUUUACAAUCCUAGCUACAGAGUGCUGAUUGGUGUGUUUUACAAUCCUCUUGUAAAACAGGAAAGUUCUCCAAGUCCCCACUCGACCCAGGAAGUCCAGCUGGCUUCACCUCUCAUUGAGUUUGCAGGAUGGCAGGUAAAAAAAGAAAUAACUUGCUAAAACGCUGAAACUGCCUCCACUUGUAACAAAACUGCCUAAAAUCUGUGAGAACCCACAUGGCCAAAUGGAGUUUGUGCAGAAUGAGCUUGCUGAUGUCACAGUGCAAAUUUCCACGUGUUUCAUACAAACUCCCUUGAGUUAGUAUGACUUUGCACAUGGAACCCAUGGGGAGGCAUGAAGAGAUCAUUGCACCUGCCUGAGGACUUAACAGACCUUUCCUCCCACCAAUCGCCUGCUAAUCCCAGAAUCCACGCCCUACACCUUUUCUAAGAAAAUUAUUGCCUUAAAGUCAGCAUAAGACAAAUUUGAGCUGGACUCCUGUCUCCUUGUUAACUUGCAAUACAAACCUUUCCUUUUCUCAAAAAUCUGAUGUCAUAGUAUUGGCUUCUAGCACAUUGGGUGAAGAGCUCUUUUGCUGGGUAGUGCCACCACUGUACCUACUGUGGUCCACCAUGUGUGCCACUCAGAUGCCCUGCAUUCAUUUUGUUUGUUUUGUUUUUGAGACAGAGUCUCCCUCUGUUGCCCAGGCUGGAGUGCAGUGGUACCAUCUUGGCUCACUGCAACCUCUGCCUCCUGAGUUCAAGUGAUUCUCCUGCCUCAGCCUCUGGAGUAGCUGGGACUAUAGGCAUGUGCCACCAUACUCAGCUAUUUUUUGUAUUUUUAGUAGAAAUGAGGUUUCACCAUGUUGGCUAAGCUGGUCUCGAACUCCUAACCUCAAGUGAUCUGCCCGCCUCUGCCUCCCAAAGUGUUGGGAUUACAGGCGUGAGCCACUGUGCCCGGCCCCAGGAUUCUUAAAGUAAGUGCCCUCAGGAUCCAGGUUGGUCCCGUUGCCUGGAGAAACUGACAAGAGGAAGAUCAGUGGGACAAACUGUAGACAGCCCUUUCCACCUGAACAAGUCUCAGAGAUGCAAUUGAUGCUUAUCACACUCCUUUACUUGCACCUUCCAGAUUCCCUUUACCCUUGACUAGGGUGAAAAUUCUAGAUUUCCUUCUCACCUAGAUCCUGCUGGUCUAGGUGGCUUACCUGGAGAGCUGCUCCAGAUCCUUAUGCCUACGGGGUCUUCACCAUGCCCUUCUCAGGACAUAGCUGGUGAAAUUUUUUUAUCUUUUUCUUUUUUGGAGACAGAGUCUCGCUCUGUUGCCCAGGCUGGAGUGCAGUGGCGCGAUCUCGGCUCACUGCAAGCUCCGCCUCCUGGGUUCACGCCAUUCUCCUGCGUCAGCCUCCCAAGUAGCUGGGACUACAGGCGCCUGCCAACGCGCCCAGUUAAUUUUUUUGUAUUUUUUGUAGAGACAGGGUUUCACCAUGUUAGCCAGGCUGGUCUCGAUCUCCUGACCUUGUGAUGUGCCCACCUCGGCCUCCCAAAGUGCUGGGAUUACAAGCGUGACCCACCACGCCUGGCCAAAAUUUUUUUAUCUUUAAAAUUGGGGAAAGAAUAGUAAGAGACAUCCCAAUGGAUUCCGUGAAUGCCAAAUGUUUUCCUCCCUGCACUCAUCAUGUAACAGCAGCCUCAGAUUCUAUGGAUGAUAGCAUUAAUUACCUAAGUCAGUAUGGUGACUUCUUUCCUUGUGUGCUGGUCUCAUAGAAGUCACAGUUUAACAUCCGAUGAGACUCUUACUGUGUCUCUUGGUGGAAGUGUUUCCCUCUGGGAACCAAGUCCUUUAGGUUACUUCUCUUUUUUCUUUUUUUUUAGAUGAAGUCUUACUCUGUCACCCAGGCUAGAGUGCAGUGGCAUGAUCUCGGCUCACUGCAAUCUCCGCCUCCCGGGUUCAAGAGAUUCUCCUGCCUCAGCCUCCUGAGUAGCUGGGAUUACAGGCGCCCACCACUGUGCCUGGCUAAUUUUGUAUUUUUAGUAGAGACGGGGUUUCACCAUGUUGGCCAGGCUGGUCUCAAACUCCUGACCUCGUGAUCCACCGACCUCGGCCUCCCAAAGUGCUGGGAUUACAGGGGCUUAUGGGUGUCCUACGAUCUGCCAUUUGUUUGGAAGCUGGAGAACCAAGAAAGCUGGUAGUCUUGCUCCAGUCCAAGCUCAAAGACCUGAAAACAGGGGAGCCAACAGUGUAAACCCCAGUGUGAAGUCCAAAGGCUUGAGAACCAGGAGGGCCAAUGGUGUAAGUUGCGAGUCUGAGUCUGAAGGCUGGAGAACCAGAAGCACCCGUAUCUGAGGUGGGGAGAAGACCGAUGUUCCAUUUCAAGUACCUUUUGUGGUUUCCCUACAUCCUGUUCACAAUUCUGUGAGGAGCCCCUUGAUAUAAACUGCGCUUGAAUCAUCCCAGUUGACGUGUGUGUCAACUGUUUCCUGCUGGGACUCUUGAUAUUCCAACUUCCUGAACAUGUAAGGAAAAGCCCUAACAAUGACCUAUAAAACCCCACAAGAUCAGGAUCUGCAUCUCCGAUUACCCUCUAAUCCCUGAAUCCCUAUUUUACCUGAGUCAUACUGGCCUCUGUGCUGUGGGUCUUUGCAUGCCAACAGUCCUCUUGCCACAAGUUCCUACUCAAUAGUCUCUCCUCAAAUGCACCUUAACUGGGGGCCUUUUCCUUCCUAUGCUACAUAAAAUGGAAAGUCCCCAGCCCUCCGUAACUCUCUCACAAUGCUUUAUUUUUCUGCACAACAUGAAUAUUGUUGAUUUUUCUUUUUCGAUGGAGUCUUGCUCUGUUGCCCAGGCUGGAGUGCAGUGGCGCGAUCUCGGCUCAUUGCAACCUCCACCUCCCAGGAUGAAGCGAUUCUCCUGCCUCAGCCUCCUGAUUAGCUGAGCGCACCACCACACCCAGCUAAUUUUUUUGUAUUUUUAGUAGAGAUGGCGUUUCACCAUGUUGGUCAGGCCGGUCUCAAACUCCUGACCUCAUGAUCUGCCCCAGCCUCCCAAAGUAUUGGAAUUACAGGCGUGAGUCACAGCGCCCGGCCAUGUUGUUGAUUUUUCUAUAAUUCACCCCUCCCCGUUAGGAUGUAAGUGCCUCAAUGGCAAAACUUGAGUUUCAUUCACUGCUCUAGACAUGGCAUCUCAAACAGUGCUUAGCCACAUGGAAUGUACUCAAUGAACAGGCUAGUGGUUAUGAGAAUCACCUGUCUGGAUUCCAAUCUGUGCUCUACCACUUACUAGCUGGUGAACUCAGGCAAGCAACCUAGACAUUUCCAUGCCAGUUUUCCCAUCUGUAAGUUGGAGACAGUAAUAGCACAGUUUGCAAGCUUAUAGUGAGGACGCAGUUAAUAUUUAUAAGGCACUUUGAAGAGCGCCUGGUCUAUAGGAUGGGCUAGCGAAAUGUUUGAUCUCUUUUUGUUAAUAUAUUUUCAUAUUACAAUUAUUUGGUAUGAAAAGGUAUGGCCCCUACUGAAAAUAAAUAAAUUCACAGGAGAAUAUCUAAACCUCUACGCACCUAGUUACAUUACACAUAAACAUAUAUAAAGUAAAAAUGACAGAAUUACAGAAAGAAUUUGUUAAUCUACCAUGCUAGUGGAAGACUUUAAUAUACCUCUAUCACUAAGUCAGGUCGAGAGAAACAAAUACAGUACAAAUUGAAAAACACAGUUUGAGUACGUAUGUCCAUCCUGUAUCCAAAAAUUAGAUACAUAGUAUACUGUUUUCAGAGAAUCAUGGAGCACUUAUAAAAACAGAUCAAUAAACAGGAUUAACAGAUAAUGCAUUCACCUGGAAGCUAACACAACACCCCCCAACCAAACACACACACACACACACACACUCUCUCUCUCUCUCUCUUUGGUUUUAACCAAUUAGUGGUUACUUGUGAUCAUGUAAGAAGUCUAGUAAUAUGCAGAACAGAGCCAAUGCAGCCAAUCAAAGGUUUUUGAAGAACUCAAAUCAUUGUGAUUUUUCGGCACUGUUUCUUUCUUUUUUUUUUUUUUUGAGAUGGAGUUUUGCUCUUGUUGCCCAGGCUGGAGUGCAGUGGGUCAACCUUGGCUCACUGCAACCUCUGCCCAGUUUGAAGCAAUUCUCCUGCCUCAGCCUUCCAAGUAGCUGAGAUUACAGGCAUGCGCCAACAUGCUCGGUUAAUUUUGUAUUUUUAGGAGAGACAGGUUUUCUCCAUGUUGAUCAGGCUGGUCUCGAACUCCCCACCUCAGGUGAUCCGCCUGCCUUGGCCUCCCAAAGUGGUGGGAUUACAGGCGUGAGCCACCACGCCCAGCCCCUGCACUGUGGUUUUUAUCACCACAGUGAAGAAAAAAAAAAAAAAAAAAAAAAAAGCUCUUUUAACUCUAUGCUUUGUGUCCACUUUCCAAAAGAAUGAAAAGAAAAUAGAUGAGAAUAAGCCAGACGGUGUCUCACCCAGUGCGUUAUUCCUACUUCUUUUAGCCAGCAGAGUGGGAUAAAGCCUGUCUAAGCUUCAGGAAAGCCUAGUACACUGUACAUCUUUUUUUGAGAUGGAGUCUCACUCUGUCGCCCAAGCUGGAGUGUGGUUGUGCAAUCUCGGCUCACUGCAACCUCCGCUUCCCAGGCUCAAGCGAUUCUCCUGCCUCAGCCUCCCAAGUAGCUGGGAUUACAGGCACCUGUCAUCACGCCCAGCUAAUUUUUGUAUUUUUUUUAGUAGAGACGAGGUUUCACCACGUUGGCCAAGCUAGUCUUGAACUCCUGACCUCAGGUGGUCCGCCUGCCUCGGCCUCCCAAAGUGCUGGGAUUACAGGCAUGAGCCAUGGCGCCUGGCCCCACUGUACAUUUUCAAUACUGCUCAUUGACAACUUAUCUUUUUCUUUAAGUAGGGAGAAUGAACAUUAAGAAACAGUAUUUGUGCCGGGCAUGGUGGCUCACGCCUGUAAUCCCAGUGCUUUGGGAGGCCGAGGCAGGUGGAUCACGAGGUCAGGAGAUUGAGACCAUACUGGCUAACACAGUGAAACCCCAUUUCUACUAAAAAUAUGAAAAAUUAGCCGGGCAUGGUGAUGGGCACCUGUAGUCCCAGCUACUCGGGAGGCUGAGGCAGGAGGAUGGCGUGAAUCUGGGAGGCAGAGCUUGCAGUGAGCCACAAUCGCGCCACUGCAUUCUAGCCUGGACAACAGAGCAAGACUCCGUCUCAAAAAAAAAAAAAAAAAAAAAAAGAAACAGUAUUUGCUAUAUUAGGACACAAAGAGAAAACAACCAAAAUCACAAAGUCCAUGUACUCUGGCAAAAUACUAUUAAAUUAGAAAAAAAUAUAUCAAAUAUUGUCUGAUUUUUUUUUUUUUGAGACAGAGUUGCACUCUUUUGCCCAGGCUGGAGUGAAGUGGCAUGAUCUUGGCUCACUGCAACCUCCAUUUCCCGGGUUCAAGUGAUUCUCCUUCCUCAGCCUCUUGAGUAGCUGGGAUUAUAGAUGCCUGCCACCACACCCGGCUAAUUUUUGUAUUUUUUAGUAGAAGCGGGGUUUCACCAUGUUGGCCAGGCUGGUCUCAAGCUCCUUACCUCCGGUGAUCUGCCCGCCUCAGCCUCCCAAAAUGCUAGGUUUAUAGGUGUGAGCCACCACACCUGGCAAAUGUCUAAUUUCUAUUAUAACAAACUAGAUCACUCAGGAGCUGUUUGGAAAUACCUUUCUGAAUAUUUGGUGUAUUGAUGUUUUAGAAUUAUAAUAAAUACACUGUAUAUAAAACGAGGUAGUAAGAUUUUCAGGACCACUAUAGCCAUAAAUGUUUAUAUUAAAAGACUGAAAAUGAACGAGCUAGUGGCCCAACCUACAAAUGAGACAUUGAUGAAGGUAAUUCCACAUUCAUAGCACUUACACCUUUUGUUCUAAGUUACUGCGUGGCCACUCAGUUAAGAGAUGAGGCAUCCUAACAUUGAUUACGUUCCUAGGGCUUCCUCUAAAUGAAUUCUCUCAUGCAUAAAGGGAGGAAUCACUGAAAAUUUUUCUGAAAUUAAUACACUCGUGAGUAUUGCAUCCAAGGAACAUUUACAUAUUUUUCCUAAUAUAAGAGGUAUCACUGAAAACAUUCCCUCAUCCUUUAUCUUAAGAAGUUCUGGCUGAGAGUGGUAGCUCGUUCCUGUAUUCCCAGCAUUUUGGGAGGCUGAGGCAGGUGGAUCACUUGAGCCCAGGAGUUUGAGAGCAGCCUGGGAAACAUGGUGAAUCCCCAUCUUUACAAAAACUAGACAGGCAUGGUGGUGCAUGCCUAC